rnacentral:rRNA from 1 species
UCCAAUAGCGUAUAUUAAAGUUGUUGCAGUUAAAAAGCUCGUAGUUGGAUUUCUGUUAAUAAUUUAUAUAUAAUAUUUUGAAUAUUUAUAUAACAUUAACAUAAUUCAUAUUACUAUAUUUUUUAGUAUAUGAAAUUUUACUUUGAGAAAAUUAGAGUGCUUAAAGCUGGCAAUUGCCUUGAAUACUCCAGCAUGGAAUAAUAUUAAAGAUUUUUAUCUUUCUUAUUGGUUCUAAGAUAAGAAUAAUGAUUAAUAGGGACAGUGGGGGGGAUUUGUAUUUAACAGUCAGAGGUGA